rnacentral:rRNA from 1 species
GUCCUAGCCCUAAACGAUCAGGUCUUGAGGUGGGCACCGUCCGGUGUCCGUCUCGCAGCCAACGCGAUAAGACCUGCGCCUGGGGAGUACGGUCGCAAGACUGAAACUCAAAGGAAUUGACGGGGGCCCGCACAAGCGGUGGAACAUGUGGUUCAAUUCGACGCAACGCGAAGAACCUUACCUGGGCUCGAAAUGCCAGUGACCAUCCGUAGAAAUAUGGACUUCCCGCAAGGGACACUAGUAUAGGUGCUGCAUGGCUGUCGU